rnacentral:tRNA from 1 species
GGUAGAGCGCAACCUUGCCAAGGUUGAGGUCACGAGUUCGAACCUCGUGUGUCGCUCCA